UCGGGAAUUUUGGGCAAUGGGCGAAAGCCUGACCCAGCAACGCCGCGUGAAGGAUGAAGUAUUUCGGUAUGUAAACUUCGAAAGAAUGGGAAGAAUAAAUGACGGUACCAUUUAUAAGGUCCGGCUAACUACGUGCCAGCAGCCGCGGUAAUACGUAGGGACCAAGCGUUGUUCGGAUUUACUGGGCGUAAAGGGCGCGUAGGCGGCUUGACAAGUCACUUGUGAAAUCUCCGGGCUUAACUCGGAACGG
rnacentral:rRNA from 1 species